GAUAAUUUAUCUCCGUGUUGUAGCUAACGCGUUAAGCACUCCGCCUGGGGACUACGGUCGCAAGACUAAAACUCAAAGGAAUUGACGGGGACCCGCACAAGCGGUGGAGCAUGUGGUUUAAUUCGAUGCAACGCGAAAAACCUUACCACUCCUUGACAUGGAGAUUAGAUCCUUCUUAACAGAAGGGCGCAGUUCGGCUGGAUCUCGCACAGGUGCUGCAUGGCUGUCGUCAGCUCGUGUCGUGAGAUGUUGGGUUAAGUCCCGCAACGAGCGUAACCCUCAUCCUUAGUUGCCAGCGGGUAAGCCGGGCACUUUAAGGAAACUGCCGGUGGUAAACCGGAGGAAGGUGGGGAUGAUGUCAAGUCAGCACGGCCCUUAUGGGGUGGGCUACACACGUGCUACAAUGGUGACUACAAUAGGUUGCAAUGUCGCAAGGCUGAGCUAAUCCGUAAAAGUCAUCUCAGUUCGGAUUGUCCUCUGCAACUCGAGAGCAUGAAGUCGGAAUCGCUAGUAAUCGUGGAUCAGCAUGCCACGGUGAAUACGUUCUCGGGUCUUGUACACACUGCCCGUCACGCCAUGGGAAUUGGCUUAACUCGAAGCUGGUGCGCUAACCGAAAG
rnacentral:rRNA from 1 species